ACCAGUUGAGGUUCUUGAGCGUA
rnacentral:siRNA from 1 species